UACGUAGGUCCCGAGCGUUGUCCGGAUUUAUUGGGCGUAAAGCGAGCGCAGGUGGUUUAUUAAGUCUGGUGUAAAAGGCAGUGGCUCAACCAUUGUAUGCAUUGGAAACUGAUAGACUUGAGUGCAGGAGAGGAGAGUGGAAUUCCAUGUGUAGCGGUGAGAUGCGUAGAUAUAUGGAGGAACACCGGUGGCGAAAGCGGCUCUCUGGCCUGUAACUGACACUGAGGCUCGAAAGCGUGGGGAGCAAACAGG
rnacentral:rRNA from 1 species